GUCUUUUUCUAAGUGUCUAGUGCUAUGUGACAUUUAUUCUAAUUCUAAUAUUAUUCUAAUAUGCAAUGUUUUGCACAUUACAAGUUUCAGAUGUGUGCUGCUACCGCUAGCUGUUCCUCAAACUACUUAAAAAGUGUGACACUGUGUGCACAGGCGUUCAAGUUUCAAUUGAUCCUCAAGCACAAAGCCUUCAUACAACACCGCGGUUGAGGCGCGCCAAAUCUGAUGACAUCUUUCCUGAACCAAGCAGGCUGAACACGCGCACCACCACGGGCUCCAGCGCGGUGUGAAGAGGGAAGAAGAAAAGACAGAAUUGGAAACAGCCGCGCCAGGCUUCCAACCACCGUGUGUGUGUAUGUAAGUAUGUGAGAACACAUGUGUGAAUCCUCUUGUGGGAACUGCAAAAAGAAGAGAAUAAAGAGUGUGAAGCAGCUAGACUGCCGCAACCAAAUCAAGAGAGUGAAUUCUCAUUUCAAUCCGAAAAACUGGGAGAGAGUGAUGACAUGCGAGAGAGAAUAAAACUAGAAACACGAGAGAGGACACGAAGCGCUUUCGGGUUGUUUUCGCCUUCGCGCACAUUUUGCUUUAUGCGCGCGAAAAAGUGAGCCUUGAUCAGCGCGAUGGCUCCCAUACAAAGGCCUUCGGCUUUGCUAUCUCCCAAGUAGCAGAGCCGAAGUUUUUCAGAGAUUUUUCUGUGUGCCAAAGCGAGAUGCCCUGUCUUCUCUCUCUAGAUUUUGGACAGCAAACCGCUGCGCGUGUAGAGGUGUGUGCGUGUGACGAACAACGAUGGAUGAAAAACGCGAGGAGCGGGGUCCGAAGUCUUUCGUUGGUCACACACACAUGCAUUUACCAGCGGAUAUCGCUGGACCGAGUCUACCCAUCCCUCUCGAUCCACCAUGAUUUUUCUGCUAUCGCGCUCAUCCGGGUGUUAGGCAUCCUCAGUCUGUCCAGAACUUUCCCUGUGGAAGGAUGUACUGAAGUGAGGUGCGAUUUCUUGUGUCCCCUACUUUCCUUAUUUACGUUUUGCGCAGUGUUGCUUCUUCUUCCAUUGUGGAAUGAUUUAUCUUAGCAAAUUGUUGAGUUACAGGUGCAUGCGCCAUUCAUCAACGCCUACCUGUUGGCAUCAUCAACAAUCUUUAUAGUAGGUGACGGAAAUAAAUUGUUUUCCAGUUUUAAAAUAUUAAGCGUUCAGCACAACUCAGCCACAAAACAACGCACUGGAUUGCGCUAAGAACCUGUCGAAACGCGCGCAGCCCCCGGGAGCGGUAGGAGAAAGGAAGAACGAGAGGAGAAAAAACUAAAGCCAGCGCGCAGCUCUGAUGGUACCCCGUACGCGGUAAGAAGAAAAAAGAUCGAGAGGAGGAAUAACGGUAAAUUUGGAAGGGGGAGACCGUUCUGCCGUCUCCACAGUGUGAGUAUGCCAAAGCACGUGUUGGAAGGGAGAGAAAAAGUGUGGAAUAAACCGCAUGCGAAUGUGUGCAUACAGCAAAAGUAAA